UAGGAGGGUCAAAUGGUUCAUAGCAUCUUGCCCUAUCAGAGCUUUCUACAGCCUAAAAGUGUUUGAUAAAUACAGGUUUGGGUCAAAGCCUUCUGAUUCUUCAAAACAGCUUUGCUGAGAAUGAACUUCUCUUGAAAGUUGUAGAUCCUCAGGGACCAGGACAGGGUGUUUUAUCUAGAAGACAAAUUGUAUAUUAGGCUGCAGGACUCAUGAAACCCUUGCCUGUUUCAGACCCUGACCGGAAAGGAGAUUGAGAUUGACAUUGAACCCACAGACAAGGUGGAGCGAAUCAAGGAGCGUGUAGAGGAGAAAGAGGGCAUCCCCCCACAGCAGCAGCGGCUCAUCUACAGUGGAAAACAGAUGAAUGAUGAGAAGACAGCAGCUGAUUACAAGAUCCUAGGUGGUUCAGUCCUCCACCUCGUGUUGGCUCUGAGAGGAGGAGGUGGUCUUAGGCAGUGAUGGACCCUCCCUCCAUUUUACCUCCUUACCCUGUCGCUCGUAAUGAGGCAUCAUAUAUCCUCUCACUCUGUGGGACACCAGAGCCACUGCCCCUUCUCCUGGAUGCCCAGUCUUGUUUGGUGGGAGACCGUGAGGACGCCAGGACUCAGGGUUCCUGGCCCAAAGGGCCCUUGCUGCCUGUUGGGUUUUAGUUUGCAGUCCUGUGUGCUUCCCUCUCUUAUGGCCACGUCCCUAGUUGUCAAUAAAAUAUUUCCUGACCUCCUGGAAUCUUUCUUGUAUUGCAGAAAUGUGACAAGUUGAAAUGGACCCAGUACACACUCAUUUACACCUCUGAAGAAGUAGGGCAAUGGGAGGGAAUGUGCCCUUGGGGUGGGGGAUUAUCAGACUCUAGGAAAGUCUACCCAAGGUGGUGUGGAGCCAGUUCUUACCAGCCCAGGAGAUCUAAUUAUUGGCAUCUCUUCCCAACCCUGUAAGUGAUUUCAUGCUGGUAGCUUGAAAUUGGCCUCAAGUGGCAAAUCAGUCCCUCUCCCCAAACUGGUUGUUACGCAUUUACCAGUAUACUACUGAUGGGGGUGGUAGAAACCAGGACAGUGAGUUCUCUCCCAUUGUAGCCUCCUGGACAUUUGGGCCUGGUUCCAGAAAGGCCUAAGGGCUUUACGGACACUACAUUGUGGCUAAAAUUCUGCUCGGGGCUUUGGGUUCUAUACUGAACAGAAGACAGGCCGAUUUGGAGAAAGGUUGAGGAGUGACAAGCUAUGGAUCACUUAGGUCUCAACUGGUAAGAGAAAAUGAGAGCGGUGCCAGGCGAAAGGGCUCCCUUCCCUGGCUUCUCUAGUUUAGCCGACUCCGGCCGGGCUGGGUGGAGUGGAGGAGUAAGGGAAGAAGGUGUCUUGGAGAGGCUGGAGCACUGUGGUCCCCCCGGCGGUGGCGUUGGCACUUUACUGCAGUCCUUCCCCCGCUCCACCAUCAGAAGGCGCUCUUGCGCGGUCUCCGGGCAGACGGCCGCAGCCCCGCGCGGCGACGCUCUAGUCGCCGUUUCUCUAAGGCAGGCGGGGCGGCUUGCAGCCGCGAAGAAAGCCUCGCCCGCCCGCCAUGGCGCGGCUCCCGAAGCUGGCGGUCUUCGAUCUGGAUUACACGCUCUGGCCGUUCUGGGUGGACACGCACGUAGACCCCCCGUUCCACAGGAGCAGCUCUGGCCCUCCGGAUCCCAGCUAUGACACCUUCUUGCAGGACAGGGGAGAUCGAAGGGGCCAACCAGCUUCUGGAGCUCUUUGACCUUGACAGAUACUUUGCUCAUCGGGAAAUCUAUCCAGGCAGCAAGGUCACCCACUUUGAGAGGUAGGUGGAGAUAAGGGUAGAAGUGGGGAGACCAGAGAGGCUGAAGGAGCUAAGAAGCCGGCGGGGCCGCUCCCUGCCCCUCCUUGCACAGGUUGCAGCGGAAGACUGGAGUUGUUUUCUCCCAGAUGAUCUUCUUUGAUGACGAGAAGCGGAAUAUCGUAGACGUCAGCAAACUGGGUACUGAGUGGAGUUACCUGCAUUCAUGUCCAGAAUGGAAUGAGUCUUCAAACCCUAACUGAAGGACUAGAGACAUUUGCAAAGGCCCAAGCUGGGCCCUGAGGUCCAGUCUUGUGGAUGAGCCUCAUUUGAGGCAUAAAAGGAAAUCCGGAAGGCAUUCUCAGAUGUAUUUGUAAAUUAUUAAAGCAUGUUUGUGUGUGACAGAA